rnacentral:rRNA from 1 species
GAUGAACGCUGGCGGCGUGCCUAACACAUGCAAGUCGAACGGAGUUGUCACCAUGAAGUUUUCGGAUGGAUUGGUAACAACUUAGCGGCGGACGGGUGAGUAACGCGUGGGUAACCUGCCUCAUACUGGGGGAUAACAGCUGGAAACGGCUGCUAAAACCGCAUAAGAUCGCAUCACCGCAUGGUGAAGCGGUUAAAAUAUCGAAAGAUAGGUAUGAGAUGGGCCCGCGUCUGAUUAGCUAGUUGGUGAGAUAAGAGCCCACCAAGGCGACGAUCAGUAGCCGGCUUGAGAGAGUGACCGGCCACAUUGGGACUGAGACACGGCCCAAACUCCUACGGGAGGCAGCAGUGGGGAAUAUUGCACAAUGGGGGAAACCCUGAUGCAGCGACGCCGCGUGAGUGAAGAAGUGCUUCGGCAUGUAAAGCUCUAUCAGCAGGGAAGAAGAUGACGGUACCUGACUAAGAAGCCCCGGCUAAACUA